AGUGAACGCUGGCGGUAGGCUUAACACAUGCAAGUCGAACGGCAGCACAGUAAGAGCUUGCUCUUACGGGUGGCGAGUGGCGGACGGGUGAGGAAUACAUCGGAAUCUACUUUUUCGUGGGGGAUAACGUAGGGAAACUUACGCUAAUACCGCAUACGACCUACGGGUGAAAGCAGGGGAUCUUCGGACCUUGCGCGAUUGAAUGAGCCGAUGUCGGACUAGCUAGUUGGCGGGGUAAAGGCCCACCAAGGCGACGAUCCGUAGCUGGUCUGAGAGGAUGAUCAGCCACACUGGAACUGAGACACGGUCCAGACUCCUACGGGAGGCAGCAGUGGGGAAUAUUGGACAAUGGGCGCAAGCCUGAUCCAGCCAUACCGCGUGGGUGAAGAAGGCCUUCGGGUUGUAAAGCCCUUUUGUUGGGAAAGAAAAGCAGCAGGUUAAUACCCCGCUGUUCUGACGGUACCCAAAGAAUAAGCACCGGCUAACUUCGUG
rnacentral:rRNA from 1 species